rnacentral:rRNA from 1 species
CUGAUUAGGUAGUUGGUGAGGUAACGGCUCACCAAGCCGACGAUCCAUAGCCGGCCUGAGAGGGUGGACGGCCACAUUGGGACUGAGACACGGCCCAAACUCCUACGGGAGGCAGCAGUGGGGAAUAUUGCACAAUGGGGGAAACCCUGAUGCAGCGACGCCGCGUGAGCGAUGAAGUAUUUCGGUAUGUAAAGCUCUAUCAGCAGGGAAGAUCAUGACGGUACCUGACUAAGAAGCCCCGGCUAACUAC